rnacentral:rRNA from 1 species
UCCUACGGGGGGCAGCAGUGAGGAAUAUUGGUCAAUGGGCGGGAGCCUGAACCAGCCAAGUCGCGUGAGGGAAGACGGUCCUAUGGAUUGCAAACCUCUUUUGUCGGGGAGCAAAGAGACCACGUGUGGUCAAAAGCGAGAGUACCCGAAGAAAAAGCAUCGGCUAACUCCGUGCCAGCAGCCGCGGUAAUACGGAGGAUGCGAGCGUUAUCCGGAUUUAUUGGGUUUAAAGGGUGCGUAGGCGGGACGGUAAGUCAGCGGUAAAAAUGCGGAGCUCAACUCCGUCGAGCCGUUGAAACUGACAG